GAUUAUUGAAUGAACGACGUCCAUCUUGCAAAGGUGUUAGAUAUUGUUUGUUUAUUAGCUAUUUGCAUUUUUGUCCAUUCAAAAGUUAUUAUUUGUUGCGAAUUGUGCUGUCGUGUUUACUUACCAAUAUAAGUAAGCGAGUAAAGGCCUGCUGUGUACCAAGAUGCACGGAUUAGCAAGCGAAAAGACAUUCAUUCCUAGGAAUGAAGACAUGUGCAGAAUUUGGUUGCAAAGAAUAAAUAACCCCAAGUUAUACAGCAGAUACAGUAUUAUCAUCACAUAGAAUGUGUGAUAUUAAUUUUGAACCAAUUUGUAGAAACCCCAAUGGCAGACAAAAAAACUUUCAGUGCCAACUCUACAUUUACCUGGUAAGUACUUAUAUUUACUGUGACAAUAAACUUCUUAUGAAUCAUAGAGAAAAGUCUUGUCACUCCUUAUGUGGCAGGUUCCGUAGCGAAGAAAUAAUUUAAAAGUCUCAAAUGCCAGUUGAGUAAAAAUAUAAUAUUGUCAAACGAAUUAAUUAAGGCCAAUUCAUUAAUAUAUUCUAGGGAACAUAAAAAAUGUUUUAUAUGAGCCUUCAGCAAAAUUUUGUGAUAUUUUAAAAAGGUUUUCCGAUAAAAUUUUCGAAAGAUUGCUCCAAUUAAUCAAUCCAUUAGGCAUAAAGAAACAAAUAUUUCGUUUGGAGGAAGUUUCCUCAAUAUUUUGCUGAGAUCAUAAGGAUUAUACAAAUAUGUUUGUAAUUAUUAGUUUUCACAUAUGCAUUUUUCAUUAAAUAGGUAUUAUUAAUAAAAUUUUGAAGGGCAAAGAUCAACAAUAUAAAGACUAUGAUGUUGUUAUAAAUAUAGCAUAUGUUAAAUAUAAGGAAAGCUGCAAGAAAGACAACGGUAAUCAUUAAUUAUCCAUGGUUAUAAAAUCAGUUUUUUUAUAUACCAUCAUAUGUACCAUGUACAAACAGAAACGUUUUUUAAACACUCCAACAUCUCACUGUUGACAGUCCUAAGCCUGCUAAAGUGUGAAGGAAAAAUUUUUGUUUGUGGAUAUAGUUAUAAAAUGUCAAAGACAAAAUAAAAAUUAUAAUAUC